UAGGGAAUCUUCCGCAAUGGGCGAAAGCCUGACGGAGCAACGCCGCGUGAGUGAUGAAGGUCUUCGGAUCGUAAAACUCUGUUAUUAGGGAAGAACAAAUGGGUAAGUAACUAUGCACGUCUUGACGGUACCUAAUCAGAAAGCCACGGCUAACUACGUGCCAGCAGCCGCGGUAAUACGUAGGUGGCAAGCGUUAUCCGGAAUUAUUGGGCGUAAAGCGCGCGUAGGCGGUUUUUUAAGUCUGAUGUGAAAGCCCACGGCUCAACCGUGGAGGGUCAUUGGAAACUGGAAAACUUGAGUGCAGAAGAGGAAAGUGGAAUUCCAUGUGUAGCGGUGAAAUGCGCAGAGAUAUGGAGGAACACCAGUGGCGAAGGCGACUUUCUGGUCUGUAACUGACGCUGAUGUGCGAAAGCGUGGGGAUCAAACAGG
rnacentral:rRNA from 1 species